rnacentral:rRNA from 1 species
GACGUAGGAGGCGAGCGUUAUCCGGAUUCACUGGGCGUAAAGCGCAUGUAGGCGGUUGGACAAGUCGUGUGUUAAAGCCCCUGGCUCAACUGGGGGAGGUCAUGCGAGACUGUGCGACUUGAGGGCAAGAGAGGCACGUGGAACUCCCGGUGUAGCGGUGGAAUGCGUAGAGAUCGGGGAGAACACCAGUGGCGAAGGCGACGUGCUGGGUUGCACCUGACGCUGAGAUGCGAAAGCGUGGGGAGCAAACAGG